rnacentral:lncRNA from 10 species
CUUGGAGGACUCUCCAGGGAGGAGGAAAGGAUGGUGCUAGGGGGAGGAGGCUGGGGGUGGACCUUGUUCUGAUGCCCCUUGUCUCAUGCACGAAGUUCUUCACCCUCCUCCAAACCUUGACCUGGUGGGAGCAGAGACUACCCCCUCCCUGGGGCCAGGGAUAGGAUGCUCAUGCCUGGGAAGGCCAGCAAGCCUUCCCCGCUUACUCAAGGCUCUGCAGGGUUCUGGGGGCCGGUGCUGUCUUUGGUGCCAUCCGAUUGCUUCUGCUUGUGGGCCUCACCCUAGGGCUGUUCACCAAAGUCCUUCUUAUCACAAUCCUGGCUUGAAAUAAGUGGGUUUCCAAUUUUUUAUCCCUGAUCUUGCCUGGAUCUUGAUUCUGAGACUCCUCCCAUCCCACCCUCUCCAACAGCAGAGACCCCUCCCAUUAGCUGCACGCGAUUGCUCCGAGAUAACAAAGCAUUGGCAGAUGCUGGUGGAGCAGGCCUGCCCUUGACGUGGGCAAGAAGCUUGGGGAAAAAGACAAUUUCCUGCUUGUCUUUUCUUGUCAAAAUACAUGGCCACACCAGGGGAAGGACAGGAAGAAUUCUCUUACCAGCCAGCAGCGGCAACUUAGCAGCUACAGACACAGAGCGCAGGGGACGGGCGGGAAUGACUGGCCAUGGAGGAGCCGAGAGAGUCGGGACCUGCAGGAGCUGCCUGCUGAGGCGGUCUGGCUGGGCAGGUGGUCCCUGUGCUGGGGCCUCCGGGUGGAAGGCAUCCCAGCCCCCCGAGGGAACAAGUUUGGUCCGAGAUACAUUUUUGAAAGGUAUUUAAUUCUCUAAAAACAUUUUUAAAAGAAGUGAGACCCACUGGGGAAAGGGAGCUGCUGGCUGCCAGGUGCCUCUCUCUCCUUUUCUCCCGAGAAAGACCUGGCAGCCACUCUGCCGGGGAGACAACCGGGGGCUAGAGGGGCAGGCCCUGGGCCGGGCGCAGUGG